GCGGAUAUGGCGGAAUUGGCAGACGCGUUAGUUUUAGGCACUAGUGAAGAAAUUCGUGGGGGUUCAAGUCCCUCUAUCCGUA
rnacentral:tRNA from 1 species